UCCCAGUUCGGAUCGCAGGCUGCAACCCGCCUGCGUGAAGUCGGAAUCGCUAGUAAUCGCGGAUCAGCAUGCCGCGGUGAAUACGUUCCCGGGCCUUGUACACACCGCCCGUCACACCAUGAGAGUCGGGAACACCCGAAGCCCGUAGCCUAACCGCAAGGGGGGCGCGGUCGAAGGUGGGUUCGAUAAUUGGGGUGAAGUCGUAACAAGGUAUC
rnacentral:rRNA from 1 species